rnacentral:tRNA from 1 species
GAGCAGCUCGGUAGCUCGCUGGGCUCAUAACCCAGAGGUCGCAGGUUCAAAUCCUGUCCCCGCAACCA